UUAAAAGUAUGCCUAUGUUACAUCUUAUGUACUUGGUCCUUAUCCUAUUUUUUCUCGUCAUUUCACUCAUUCAUUUAAACAUUCUCAUCUUCACUAUACGUAGUCUCUGUUUUAUACUUUUGUCUAUACCACUCAAUACUCUGAACCAUACAAAAUAGUCCAUUUCACUAUACUCUUGUAGAACUUACCUUUAAGUCUCAUUAGAAUUCUCUUGUUGCGAAAAACCCCUGACGUUUUUUUUCACUUGAUUUAAUCACACUUAAUCCUAUGUUCCACGUUCUCGUUACAGCCAACUACCAUUUUUUUUUAUAUAAAAUAUCCAAGAUAUAGAUAGC